GCAACCCUUAUCCUUUGUUGCCAGCGGUUAGGCCGGGAACUCAAAGGAGACUGCCAGUGAUAAACUGGAGGAAGGUGGGGAUGACGUCAAGUCAUCAUGGCCCUUACGAGUAGGGCUACACACGUGCUACAAUGGCGCAUACAAAGAGAAGCGACCUCGCGAGAGCAAGCGGACCUCAUAAAGUGCGUCGUAGUCCGGAUUGGAGUCUGCAACUCGACUCCAUGAAGUCGGAAUCGCUAGUAAUCGUAGAUCAGAAUGGUACGGUGAAUACGUUCCCGGGCCUUGUACACACCCCCCGUCACACCAUGGGAGUGGGUUGCAAAAGAAGUAGGUAGCUUAACCUCGGGAGGGCGCUUA
rnacentral:rRNA from 1 species